ensembl:lncRNA
GUUCUUUAUACACAGAUGCAUAAAUAUUAGCUUUGACACAAGUAGUAUCAAAACCAUAUUUUUAUCUACAAUUCUUUCCCAAAACAGACCACUCUCAUUUUCACCCAGCUCUAACUGACAUCAUUAAGUAAUCCACAGCUCUUUUAACAAUCUGUCUCCUUCGCAUGCAUGCCCUUUUGUAUCAAACAGAACAUCUCCAGCCAGGAGUCACACAGACCAAUCAGCUUACAGUUCUGUUCAUAAACAAUUCUUUCAUACUUCUCAACUGUCUUAACUGCCAGUCUUGGCACACAUCACCCCACACAACUGCCAGGCAACCCCAGUCACUUACCAUUCAAACAAAUGUUGUUAGAGUCCUAACUGAACUACAUGGUCAGAUGUACUGUAUCUGCAGGGAAAGGAGGCAGCAACCAGUAGCUGACCAGCUCAAGGCUCACUACUGAGCCCCAGAUUCCUAGCUUUCAUGUUAAAAAAAUUGAGGGAGUACAAGCAAGUUUAUAAUCAUUGUAGUGCCCAUGGUAUGAGACAAAAUGUUCAGGUGCUAUUCUGCCUAGUUUUUUAAAAAAUAUAUUCACCUAAUCAGUGAAGCCAAUAUCUUUGAAACAGUGCAAUUGAUAAAUUUUUUUGCAGAAGGGGCCUUGGUGUGUGGGGAGGUAUCAUUUCCCCCCUCCCCUUGUGAAGUACUGAUUAUUAUAAACAGAAUAUGUCAAGGCAGGAUAUAGGUACAGUAAAUAUAUCAAAAGAAAGAAAGGAUAUGAUAAACCUUGCCUUGAAGAAAGUGCAAUCCUGUUCUGACUUCAGUGGCGGCCAGGUGCAAUUCACAGGGCUAAUCUUGAUCUUUAAAGCCCUGAACAGAUUGUGAGUGAGUGAGGACAUGGACUGCCAUUUCUCAGCUGCACCUUCCUAAAUUUUUUGAUCUAUGUUUACCUUGUGGAACCUGUGCUUUACUGAUGAUAUUCAGCUCUGUCCUUCGAACAUUAAUCAGGCUGUGUGUAUGUGCCCUGUUAUCUAAGGUGUCAUGGUGGACAUGCAGGAUUGAGUAUCACCCCCCUCCCCUCCAGUUUUUGAUUAUAAUACUGCACCAUGUUUGUGGAAUGAACAGUCUCCCUAGGGGUUCUUGCAGGAAGAGGCAAAUGGACUGUGCACCAGAAUGCUUGCUCAUAAAUGCCAAGCCAGGAUUUUGUGCAUUUCUGACCUUGACAUAUUGUGCAAAUAUCAUCACAGCAUCACCAUCUGGCAUCAAUGCAUGGGCUGUCAGAGAGAAAUUCACUGGUGGGAAGAAGAAAAAGGGCCUUUUCCAUCAUGACAAUCUGUUUAUGGAAUCGUCAGAAAUUGUAGCUACUGAGUGGCGUCAGGAACUGCAUGCAACCUCAUGUCAUGAAUCAGUGAGCCUCAGGUGGCAGUUAUUCCGCAAACAGUUUUCCAGAUCGGGCCGAGUUCCACUUACUCAGACUGGCCAAUGGGUCAUCCAUCUGGGCAGGAAGGAAGAGGGUGAACUUCAAGAUGGAGUUAAAUGUUGCUAA